rnacentral:lncRNA from 1 species
UCAGAACAAUAAGAUAUGGCCAUGUAUGGCAUGCAUAAGGAGGGGAUGAGAUCUAAUCAAAUGAAGAGUUAUGAUGAACACAUCAGAUGACAAAACAAUUACUGGGGUGAUGUAGUGAUUUGGUGACAUUUCAACGGUGAAAAAGAAAAAAACUGUAGGAAAGAUCAGCCAAGAUAAACUACUACUAUAGCCAAUUCCAUAUUUCAAACUUGUGGCAACAUCAAAAAGACACUACACUCAAAGAUAUCAUUAAAUUCAAGAUCACAUCCUCAUUUAGCAAUAGAACUAAAAGGGGUAUCAAAUCCAAUCUUAAGUAUAUCAGCUAU